UCCUCUCCAAAGCACAAUCCUCAUUGCCAUCAUCAACUGCCCUUGUGAGAUGAGAUGCACCUGCCCAGCCCACCUGUUGGGGAUGUUGUGAGGAUCCUGAGCACUGAGGUGGGAGAAGCUGAGGAGACUGAGGUAGGAGAAGCUGUGAGGACAUUGAGAUCUGUCUCCAAUGUCUGGCAUCCACUCCCAAUGAACAUCAGCUCCCUGGCUCAGCGGCUCCAUUAGCUCCUCACCUUCCAGGCUCUCUUCGAUCACCUCAAAUCGCUUCUCCAUCACCUGAUCCAUGGAGUGAAAAGCUGGCUGGGGAGAGGAUGCCUGAGGUCUUCCGGUCAUUAUGCUGUUUAGACACAUUCUAAGUCCAUUCUUGCAUGGUCAUUUG